GGAGAUAAAAACACGUUCCGGUAGGUAGUCCGGAAGUACCUGCUAUGCUUAUAGCGGGUAUCAGUAACCUGCCUCCUUUGGUUGUCCAUUCUCCGC
rnacentral:ncRNA from 1 species